GCAUCGGUGGUUCAGUGGUAGAAUGCUCGCCUGCCACGCGGGCGCCCCAGGUUCAAUUCCCGGCCAAUGCC
rnacentral:tRNA from 1 species